UACGGAGGGGGCUAGCGUUGUUCGGAAUCACUGGGUGUAAAGGGUGCGCAGGCGGGAGAGUAAGUCAGAGGGGAAAUCUCACAGCUUAACUGUGAAACUGCCUUUGAUACUGCUUUUCUUGAGUUCGGGAGAGGUUGAUGGAAUUCCAGGUGUAGCGGUGAAAUGCGUAGAUAUCUGGAAGAACACCAGUGGCGAAGGCGGUCAACUGGCCCGUAACUGACGCUCAGGCACGAAAGCGUGGGUAGCGAACAGG
rnacentral:rRNA from 1 species